rnacentral:rRNA from 1 species
UCCAUCCGUUCGCUAUCGCUCUCUAUCAAGAAAAAAUACCUUAUCCUUAUCCCUUUCCCCGUCUCACCACGGAGGUGGAGAAAAAGCACGGGAGCACGCCGGCGUGACGCCUGGGAGGUCGAUGUGGAGGCGGUGGAUCGGACGAGCCCGACGAGCGGUCCGCCCAGGAACUGGAGCUGCAGCGCCGCCGGCUUUUCCUCCCAAUUUCUUCGAGCGGAGCUGGAGCGAUGCCCCUGCUCCUCUUGUGCACCGUGAUUUGCCUUCUCAUCCAUGUUGGUCGCGAGGGUUUCUGCCCCGCUGCCGGGAAGCCGUGCGCGGAGUCUGCAUAUUAAGGUGUUGGGGACGCCAAAGACAGAGAAGAAGGGCAAUGGAGAUGUCGAUUUGUCGUUGUUAGAGAUAUACCUUUGAUGAGAUGAUGAAGAUGGAGAAGGAAGGCAACCAAAACGGGCGAAGAGAGGUGGAUAGAAAAUAAUUCUAAAAAAUACAGUAUUAGUCGCAUCACACGGUAGAGGGAGUUGCUCGGUCCAUACCCGUAGUUGCUCAAAAACCUGAUGCAUCGUUUUUUAUACUUGUGUAUAUAAUGCAUCUAUAUAUAUGUGUUACUGCCACCUAUAUAUGUUGUCCUGUACUUGUUAUUUUGUGGUUCUUUUAUUAUUUUACACAAGGGUUGCCUGAUAUUAUUGCAAGGAGCUUAUAGGGGCUGCAGCCCCCCUUUUUAAUGCC